UACGAAGGGGGCUAGCGUUGCUCGGAAUCACUGGGCGUAAAGGGUGCGUAGGCGGGUCUUUAAGUCAGGGGUGAAAUCCUGGAGCUCAACUCCAGAACUGCCUUUGAUACUGAAGAUCUUGAGUCCGGGAGAGGUGAGUGGAACUGCGAGUGUAGAGGUGAAAUUCGUAGAUAUUCGCAAGAACACCAGUGGCGAAGGCGGCUCAUUGGCCCGGUACUGACGCUGAGGCACGAAAGCGUGGGGAGCAAACAGG
rnacentral:rRNA from 1 species